GAGCAACUUGCUGAUGAUGCAGCCUCCCCCUACCCUUGACAGUGUCUAUAACAUCCUCCUCAAUGAUGAGAAACAAAGACAAGUCCAGUCCAUCUCCCAGUUCAAUCCUGAUUCUAUGUCUUUCAGUGUCAACACAAACAAAAAUUCUACACCUUCUUUUGGAAUGAAUCAAGUUGCAGUGCAUAACCCUUCUCCUCUCAGACACUAUACACAAAAAGUUAAUUUUGACCAAACCAGAGGACCUCUAUUCUGUAGAUACUGCAAGAAGUCUUGGCACUUAAUUGAUAAGUGUUACAAGCUUCAUGGUUAUCCACAAAGCACCAGGUUUAACAAAGGGAAGAGAACUAUUGCUGCUCAUAUAACCACUGGUGCUAAUUUCACCUCUUCUGAAGGAUACACAUCUAAUGCUCCUGAAAAUCCCACCGAGGGUCAUCAAUAUGUCCCAAAUGUGGAUGGACAAGGAUCUGUAAUCCCAGGCUUGAGCAGACCUUUGGAAUGAAUCAACUUGCAGUGCCCAACCCUUCUCCCCUCAGACAAUAUACACAAAAAGUUAAUUUUGACCAAACUAGAGGACCUCUAUUCUAUAGAUACUGCAAGAAGUCUGGGCACUUAAUUGAUAAGUGUUACAAGCUUCAUGGGUAUCCAUAAUGCACCAAAUUUAACAAAGGGAGGAGAACCGCUGCUGCUCAUAUAACCACUGAAGCUGAUUUUACCUCUUCUGAAGGACACACAUCUAAUGCUCAUGGAAAUCUCAUUGAGGGUCAUCAGCCUGUCCCAAAUGUGGAUGGACAAGGAUCUAUAAUCCCAGGCUUGAGCAGACAACACUAUG
rnacentral:lncRNA from 1 species